rnacentral:rRNA from 1 species
CAAGCAGUGGGAGCACGCUUAGGCGUGUGACUGCGUACCUUUUGUAUAAUGGGUCAGCGACUUAUAUUCUGUAGCAAGGUUAACCGAAUAGGGGAGCCGAAGGGAAACCGAGUCUUAACUGGGCGUUAAGUUGCAGGGUAUAGACCCGAAACCCGGUGAUCUAGCCAUGGGCAGGUUGAAGGUUGGGUAACACUAACUGGAGGACCGAACCGACUAAUGUUGAAAAAUUAGCGGAUGACUUGUGGCUGGGGGUGAAAGGCCAAUCAAACCGGGAGAUAGCUGGUUCUCCCCGAAAGCUAUUUAGGUAGCGCCUCGUGAAUUCAUCUCCGGGGGUAGAGCACUGUUUCGGCAAGGGGGUCAUCCCGACUUACCAACCCGAUGCAAACUGCGAAUACCGGAGAAUGUUAUCACGGGAGACACACGGCGGGUGCUAACGUCCGUCGUGAAGAGGGAAACAACCCAGACCGCCAGCUAAGGUCCCAAAGUCAUGGUUAAGUGGGAAACGAUGUGGGAAGGCCCAGACAGCCAGGAUGUUGGCUUAGAAGCAGCCAUCAUUUAAAGAAAGCGUAAUAGCUCACUGGUCGAGUCGGCCUGCGCGGAAGAUGUAACGGGGCUAAACCAUGCACCGAAGCUGCGGCAGCGACGCUGAUGCGUUGUUGGGUA